AUGGAUGUGUCCUGCUGCCAAUACCUUAUGAUUAGAUUAUGUUGACAAAGUUCAACUGACUGAAAAAAGGGGGAAAUACCUUUUGGUUCAACUCUCCUGCAAAGUCUAGUUAGCUGAAGUUUGACUGAAGCAUAACUGAACAUGGUAUCAUAUUUUCUUUUAUCAUUCAAAUUUGUGCACGAUCAGUAAACCUUCCUUUUCCUGUCCUAGGUUUCAAUAGGAUACUUUUCCUAUCAUAUUGGAUGUCAUAGUCGUGUUUCAUUGUCUUGUUCUGCCCAUGCUAAUGCUGGAUUUUCUUCCUAGCAGGAAAGACCUUGCAUCUUUGUUGCUGCAACUUGAUGAAUAAUUUCAUUUUAAUAUCUGCAGCUCACCGGCUAUGUUAUAUGGUAGUG
rnacentral:misc_RNA from 1 species